AUUGAACGCUGGCGGCAGGCCUAACACAUGCAAGUCGAACGGUAACAGGAAGAAGCUUGCUUCUUUGCUGACGAGUGGCGGACGGGUGAGUAAUGUCUGGGAAACUGCCUGAUGGAGGGGGAUAACUACUGGAAACGGUAGCUAAUACCGCAUAACGUCGCAAGACCAAAGAGGGGGACCUUCGGGCCUCUUGCCAUCGGAUGUGCCCAGAUGGGAUUAGCUAGUAGGUGGGGUAACGGCUCACCUAGGCGACGAUCCCUAGCUGGUCUGAGAGGAUGACCAGACACACUGGAACUGAGACACGGUCCAGACUCCUACGGGAGGCAGCAGUGGGGAAUAUUGCACAAUGGGCGCAAGCCUGAUGCAGCCAUGCCGCGUGUAUGAAGAAGGCCUUCGGGUUGUAAAGUACUUUCAGCGGGGAGGAAGGGAGUAAAGUUAAUACCUUUACUCAUUGACGUUACCCGCAGAAGAAGCACCGGCUAACUCCGUG
rnacentral:rRNA from 1 species